AACGAACGCUGGCGGCGCGCCUAAUACAUGCAAGUCGAGCGAGAAGACGUAGCAAUACGUUUGUAAAGCGGCGAACGGGUGAGGAAUACAUGGGUAACCUACCCUCGAGUGGGGAAUAACUAGCCGAAAGGUUAGCUAAUACCGCGUACGCUCCUUGGACUUCGGUUCAGGGAGGAAAGCGAUACCGUGGGUAUCGCGCUCUUGGAUGGGCUCAUGUCCUAUCAGCUUGUUGGUGAGGAACGGCUCACCAAGGCUUCGACGGGUAGCUGGUCUGAGAGGACGAUCAGCCACACUGGCACUGCGACACGGGCCAGACUCCUACGGGAGGCAGCAGUAAGGAAUAUUGCGCAAUGGGCGAAAGCCUGACGCAGCGACGCCGCGUGGGGGAUGAAGGUCUUCGGAUUGUAAACCCCUUUCGGGAGGGAAGAUGGAACGAGCAAUCGUUCCGGACGGUACC
rnacentral:rRNA from 1 species